CGGGGUGAGUAACACAUGGGCAACCUACCCCACAGUGAGGAAUACCGGCGAGAAAUCGCCGACAAGACCGCAUAGGCUUCGAAAGAAGCAAAGUCGCAAGACGCUGAGGGAUGGGCCUGUGGCCGAUUAGCUAGUUGGUGGGGUAAAAGCUCACCAAGGCGACGAUCGGUAGCUGGUCUGAGAGGAUGAUCAGCCACACUGGGAUUGAGAACGGCCCAG
rnacentral:rRNA from 1 species